rnacentral:lncRNA from 1 species
AGAAAAAACAAAAUACCAUAGUAAUACUAAGUCAUUAAAAGUUUGGAGCUGAAAAAAGAUCAAUAAAAAAGACUAACCUAUCUCUUCUUACCAUUGAAUGUCUUGGUUAGAACAAGCACAUGUCAGAAAAAAGGUAAAAAGAUAAAAUAUGAGACAAAGCUAUCCCCGAAACACAAAAGAUCGCGAUCAAGCACCAGUGCAAAAAAUUAAAAAAAUGGGUCAGAGAAAGAAUAAUCAUCGGAAGAAAAAAGUCACCACGAAAUAAAAAGAUGCAUGUCUAAAGCACCGGAAGCACAACCACCAGCUAAGAGAUAAGAAGCACAUCACAAACCAAACAAGCACAUACAAGGCGCUCAUGCCAGCGAAGAACAACAAAACUCUGAAUAGAAGAAACCAAAGCUCCAAAAGACUAACUCCGCACACCUACACCAAGUGAUGCAUGAGAAGAAGAUAAAUAACCUGGGUGGGGGG